GUGUGUGUGUGUGUGUGUGUGUGUGUGUGUUAGCAGAGAGUGACUUGGUGCUCUCAGGGCUCCCAGCUUUUGUUUUCAUGGCCUUUCAACUUACCACUGCAGUUUUGCAGACCUGCAAGUGUUCUGAUCUGAGGUUUGUUGAAUGGAGGUGCCUAACUGAUUACCUAAUGUCUCCCUUACAGCUCCAGGCCCUAGGGGGCUUUGUUCAUAAAGCCACUAGCUGUUAAGUAGUCUCUUAGGCUGUUUGCAGUCACAUUGGGAGCUUGGGCAAGUACUUGGUAUGGUCAGGGUCUCAUUCUUGCUAGUAGUUUCCUGGCUGGCAUGUCAAAAAACUGGUGCCUUCUCCAGGCAAUUUUUCAUGCACUCUUUGGAGUGUUAGCUUGACACUGCUGACUGUUAGAGCCCAAGAGCAUGCCUUGGGAGAUACUUAAGUUCACUUUUCCAUUACCAUUGUGGUCUGAAAGCUGCUGCAGUCAGUGCUGGUGCAGGGCUUUAAGGGAGAGAAUAAAAGGCGUUUCUCAAAAGUCCUAAACACUAAAUGACUGGACCGUGGAGUGUAGGUUAAUCCAGAAGAGCUGGUAUGAUUAUCCUGUCUUGGUAGCACAUCAAAGAGACAAUGUCUUGGGAAGGAGCAGAAAAGCUUGUCACUGGCUCUUGCAAUUAUACCAAUCCCUCAAAUUGAAGCCUCUGGGAAUGCUCCAUAAGUCUUCAAUGGGGGCAGGAGUUGGGCCUUGGAGAAUGGGUGACUCUCCCUGUGUGAAUGGCAUCUUUUGCCUAGCCUGUAGGACUGCUUCUGUUGAAACAGUCUGUCUAGCCUUCUUGGGUAUCUUAGGUUUAUAUCAAGCAACUACCUACCAUUUUUUUCUAUUGUGUGUAUUUUUUGUACGUUCUGUUGAAAGGUGAAGCCUCUGUAGAAGGUGAUACAGAGAUCUGAUUUUGAAUAGUAAUAAACCAAGAAUUAAACCCUG